UUUGGCUUUGUUCCAAGGUUAGAACUCGGACCUUUGAUUCAUUGAACUUAUUUGCACAGUCUUCGUCGUGUCGCAACGGCAGAAGCCCGCUUGGCUUUGUCCCGAGGUUAGAACUCGGACCUUUGAUCCAUUGAACUUAUUUGCACAGUAUUCGUCGUGUCGCAAUGCUAGAAGCCCGCUUGGCUUCGUCCCGAGGUUAGAACUCGGACCUCAGAUUCAUUGAACUUAUUUGCACAGUAUUCGUCUUGUCGCAACGGUAGAAGCCCGCUUGGCUUUGUCCCGAGGUUAGAACUCGGAUCUUUUAUUCACUGAACUUAUUUGCACAGUAUUCGUCGUGUCGCAACGGUAGAAGCCCGCUUGGAUUUGUCCCGAGGUUAGAACUCGCACCUUUGAUUCAUUGAACUUAUUUGCACAGUAUUCGUCGUGUCUCAACGGUAGAAGCCCGCUUGGCUUUGUCCCGAGGUUAGAACUCGGACCUUUGAUUCAUUGAACUUAUUUGCGCAGUAUUCGUCGUGUCGCAACGGUAGAAGCCCGUUUGGCUUUGUCCCAAGGUUAGAACUCGGACCUUUGAUUCAUUGAACUUAUUUGCACAGUCUUCGUAGUGUCGCAACGGCAGAAGCCCGCUUGGCUUUGUCCCGAGGUUAGAACUCGGACCUUUGAUCCAUUGAACUUAUUUGCACAGUAUUCGUCGUGUCGCAAUGCUAGAAGCCCGCUUGGCUUCGUCCCGAGGUUAGAACUCGGACCUCAGAUUCAUUGAACUUAUUUGCACAGUAUUCGUCUUGUCGCAACGGUAGAAGCCCGCUUGGCUUUGUCCCGAGGUUAGAACUCGGACCUCAGAUUCAUUGAACUUAUUUGCACAGUAUUCGUCUUGUCGCAACGGUAGAAGCCCGCUUGGCUUUGUCCCGAGGUUAGAACUCGGACCUCAGAUUCAUUGAACUUAUUUGCACAGUAUUCGUCUUGUCGCAACGGUAGAAGCCCGCUUGGCUUUGUCCCGAGGUUUGAAUUCGUGGUGGUUAUUUCGACCAUUGCACCUAUAGUUUGUGAAACGUCAUUGUGUUUUUAGCAUUCGAUGCACCUCUUUGGCUUUGGCUUCAGAGUGUACUGCAAUGCGGUUGUUUCGGCAUUUCAACGAAAUUCUUAUAAAACAGUUUUCUUGUCACAAACAAGGAUUUCAAAUUUCAUACAAGUUCUCGGUCCUCUCACAUUUCUGACUGCGUCCGCCAAAAUGUUUCAAGUGGCAGGUCAUGAUGGCUCUGCUUGUGAAGCUCCUACAUUUUUGCGUCCGCCGUCACGCGGUUUGGUUUCCGAAGUGAUCGCCACUUUGACAUCCUCCCUUAGGGUCUGUUAGAGCACUUCUUUACUUGGCUUUGACCGGUGGUCUGAUCUCGGAGUGAUUGCUUCACACAUUGAGCGGAUUUGUUGUAUAAUGAUGCUGGUAUUGGAAAGUUUGAAGUGCUCGUUUGGUGUUGCCUGUUAAUCUGACAUGUUUCUUUCGUGUAUACUCUCUUGUAGGGCGCGAGAGUUUCAUACAUGGCCUCUGUUUCUUUGCAUGUCGCUCAUCACAAAUUUAGAACCUCACGACGCCACUGGUAAAGUGCACAGUGUGAAUAAGUGGGAAAGGGGUGGGUGUUUGCCCUCACCAAAAAACACUCUGGCCAAUGCAAAGGCUUCCACGUUUUGACUCUCAAUAAAGCUGGUUCGCGGUGCUAGCCCACUGUGCUCGUAAUUUAUGCAGUUUGAAUCAUUUCGAUUCGAUGAAUACAAGCAUCCGCUUUGAAGUGCUGUGUACUUCUCAAUCUGUGUACCCCCUCUGCUGUUUGUACAGGUAAAUACGCGCACUAAAAUAUCAAGGGUCGUUAGACAAUGGAACCUUACAGAAAUUGUUGCUAUCAUAGACAAAUCACACAGUCGGGCAUCGGAUCAGCAUAUUGCUUUGUCGAAGUGUGCCACAUGAAUUUUUGCCCUGUGUAACUCUUAUAUUUGUACAUCGGACAUUUUCUCCACUGUUGCUGUUUGUUUAUCGCCUCAAGGACGCAAUGAUUAAGUUAAGCAAUUUAACAACGUGUAAUUAUUAGCGUGAUUUUAGGCCUCUUUACAGCUAUAUUACAUCCUAUCAUUGUAACCAUCGGUCACUUCUAACACCACAUUGUGCUCUUUGGCCACACCUGGCCCUCGCUCCACAAUAACCCACGAAUCAUAAUCACCAACGAUGUAUAAUUAUUGCAUAGUUUGUAUUAGCCGAUACUUAAAUUUCCAUGACCAUUAGCUCAAGUGACUGUGUGCACAUUGAUUGAAAAGUCAAUAAAAAUGUUAACUGUU